UUCUGGUUGAUCCCGCCGGACCUGACUGCUAUCGGAUUGAUACUGAGCCAUGCGAGUCUUUGUAGUAAUACAAGGCAGACGGCUCUGUAACACGUAGUCAACCUACCCUAUGGACGAGAAUAAUCUCGGGAAACUGAGCAUAAUUCUUGAUAGAUCAUAAUGCCUGGAAUGGUUUAUGGUUAAAAUGAUUCGUCGCCAUAGGAUGGGACUGCGGCCUAUCAGCUUGUUGGUGAGGUAAUGGCACACCAAGGCGAUUACAGGUACGGGCUCUGAGAGGAGAAGCCCGGAGAUGGGUACUGAGACACGGACCCAGGCCCUAUGGGGCGCAGCAGGCGAGAAAACUUUGCAAUGUGCGAAAGCACGACAAGGUUAAUCCGAGUGAUUUCUGCUAAAGAAAUCUUUUGCCAGUCGUAAAACCGCUGGUGAAUAAGGGGUGGGCAAGUUCUGGUGCCAGCAGCCGCGGUAAUA
rnacentral:rRNA from 1 species